CACAGACAUUGUAUGAGUGCUUCUUUCGCUGCUGUGUCUGGUUCUGGCUUUUAAGAGGAUAUGAGGUAGCCAAAUACCCAAGCCUCAACGCUAAUGGGCACUUUAUGAUUCCAGACUGGGAUCCACUUACUUCCCUGCGAUGUCUUGAAUUCUUGAGUGAAAGGCCGUCUGGGCCCUGGGAAGAACCCUUCCAGCAAGCGGAGAUGCUGAGAUGCUCGGGCAGGUGCACAUCCCCCGCGCAGCCACAAGAUGGCAGGGUCGCCCCGACGACCGAGGACUUGGCGCCAGUCCCCCGCACCAGUAGAGGGCUGUAGUUCCUCGUUGCAAAAAGUGAGAAAUGAAAACAAAAAAGAAAAACAAAACAAAACAAUAAAACCUCAGUGUCUAC
rnacentral:lncRNA from 12 species